UCUCUUAACGGUUUGGUUUCUGCCUGAUUCGAUUUUUUAACAGAUGGGCUCUGGAUCAAGUUAGAGUUGUUUUCAAGAAGUAUUCCAUGAAUUCGGCGGCAAGACUAAACAAGAGUGUAAAUUGCCAGAAGAUUGACAGCCCAAAGACCUCUGAUGUCCCUCCUCGCUUCUGAUCACCUGAGCCUGCUUUUUCCUGCUUCCAUGCCUUAU